rnacentral:rRNA from 1 species
CCUACGGGUGGCUGCAGUGGGGAAUAUUGGACAAUGGGGGGAACCCUGAUCCAGCCAUGCCGCGUGUGUGAAGAAGGCCAUCGGGUUGUAAAGCACUUUCAGUGAGGAAGAACGCCUGGUGGUUAAUACCCAUCAGGAAAGACAUCACUCACAGAAGAAGCACCGGCUAACUCCGUGCCAGCAGCCGCGGUAAUACGGAGGGUGCGAGCGUUAAUCGGAAUUACUGGGCGUAAAGCGCGCGUAGGUGGCUUGAUAAGCCGGUUGUGAAAGCCCCGGGCUCAACCUGGGAACGGCAUCCGGAACUGUCAAGCUAGAGUGCAGGAGAGGAAGGUAGAAUUCCCGGUGUAGCGGUGAAAUGCGUAGAGAUCGGGAGGAAUACCAGUGGCGAAGGCGGCCUUCUGGACUGACACUGACGCUGAGGUGCGAAAGCGUGGGUAGCAAACAGGAUUAGAUACCCUAGUAGUC